rnacentral:rRNA from 1 species
AUUGAACGCUGGCGGCAGGCCUAACACAUGCGAGUCGAAUGGUAACAGGAAACAGCUUGCUGUUUCGCUGACGAGUGGCGGACGGGUGAGUAGUGUCUGGGAAGCUUCCUGAUGGAGGGGGAUAACUACUGGAAACGGUAGCUAAUACCGCAUAACGUCGCAAGACCAAAGAGGGGGACCUUCGGGCCUCUUUCCAUCAGAUUUGCCCAGAUGGGAUUAGCUUGUAGGUGGGGUAACGGCUCACCUAGGCGACGAUCCCUAGCUGGUCUGAGAGGAUGACCAGCCACACUGGAACUGAGACACGGUCCAGACCCCUACGGGAGGCAGCAGUGGGGAAUAUUGCACAAUGGGCGCAAGCCUGAUGCAGCCAUGCCGCGUGUAUGAAGAAGGCCUUCGGGUUGUAAAGUACUUUCAGCGGGGAGGAAGGGAGUAAAGUUAAUACCUUUGCUCAUUGACGUUACCCGCAGAAGAAGCACCGGCUAACUCCGUG